rnacentral:rRNA from 1 species
UAGGGAAUCUUCGGCAAUGGGGGGAACCCUGACCGAGCAACGCCGCGUGAGUGAAGAAGGUUUUCGGAUCGUAAAGCUCUGUUGUUAAGGAAGAACGAGUGUGAGAAUGGAAAGUUCAUACUGUGACGGUACUUAACCAGAAAGGGACGGCUAACUACGUGCCAGCAGCCGCGGUAAUACGUAGGUCCCGAGCGUUGUCCGGAUUUAUUGGGCGUAAAGUGAGCGCAGGCGGUUAGAUAAGUCUGAAGUUAAAGGCAGUGGCUCAACCAUUGUAGGCUUUGGAAACUGUUUAACUUGAGUGCAGAAGGGGAGAGUGGAAUUCCAUGUGUAGCGGUGAAAUGCGUAGAUAUAUGGAGGAACACCGGUGGCGAAAGCGGCUCUCUGGUCUGUAACUGACGCUGAGGCUCGAAAGCGUGGGGAGCGAACAGG